CCCAGCUGCAGAGAAUCAGAGGGACGAUUCAAGCAGAGCUGAGAAGUCAGUCUCGGGGAGAGAGACUACAGAGAAGUCAGGACUCUUCUGCAGAUGGGGUCAGUCAGGUUACUGAAAUAAUUAUUGUGCUCUUCUUGGCACUGGUUAAAGCUUAACUGGAGUAACUGCAUUCAGUUCUGUAUGGGGGAAAAAAAGACACAUGGACCAAUUGAAGAGUUUAGAGGAGUGCAACAAAGACGGCUUAAGGGCAACAUAAUGCAUCAUCUAAAUUGGAAGCAACAUGACAUCAAGACAUGAUAUCAAGAUAAGAUGGGGGAUCAGUUGAUGAAAAUUGCCUUAUGUUAGCAAGAUCCCUUGUACUCCCAUUGAAAUAACUCACUGUACUUGAGUAUGAGAGAAGGUAAAACACAACUGGAUCCCAGAAAGUAGAUUAGGUACUCAUCCUAUUCCUGAGUGUUACAUGAUGAACUCCUCUGGUAUUAAUGACUGCAUGUGAAGAAGCAAAUCUCUGACACAUGCUGUUUCCAAUUUGGAUCAAAUGGCACGUGCAUUUUGGAAAGGGGGCCUUAUUGAAAGACAGACAUUUGAUGCAGUAGUUACUUUCAUGGCUAGUGACUAAUGUUUGCAGUAAAAUCCAGUGCAAAUAGCUAAGAUACAGUUUAAACCCAUCUUUGGUAUCCAGUCAGGAAAAACUGUGGAAAGAGAAAGCUGCACAAAAAGAAGGAUGGCUUAGUCAAUAGGGAAACCAAGGAAUUUAAUCAUGAUAGGCCAUAUUCAUCCUAUUUGCUUCA